UAAAGAUGUAUUUUAUAUACUUAAGUUUAUAAAUGCACAUGGGGAUGGUUUCACAUAUGGCUGCAAAAGCUAGUUGAAGAACAAGGGUAAGCAUGUGUAUCUGGCUAAGGCCAGUAAGGUAUUGUCAUGCAUGAAAAAGGGGCAUUAAUUCUCGGGAUGAGAAUGUAAUUUUGCCUUGUUAUAAAUCACUGGUAGGACCCCAUCUUGAAUAUGCUUUGCAAUUUUGGGCACCUGUUCUAAAGAAGGAUGUUAUGGCACUAGUAAGAGUGCAGAGGCAGGUUACAAAAUAAAAGGAAUGGAAAAUUUUACCUAUGAAGAAAGGUUAACAAAUUUAAACCUCUUUAGUUUAGAAAAACAUCGCCUCAGAGGGGAUAUGAUAACAUUAUACAAAUAUAUCCAGGGCCAAUACAAACCAUUGUGUGUAAAUCUAUUCACAAACAGGACUUUACAU